CCUACGGGAGGCUGCAGUGAGGAAUAUUGGUCAAUGGGCGCAAGCCUGAACCAGCCAAGUCGCGUGAGGGAGGACGGCUCUACGGGUUGUAAACCUCUUUUUCCGGGGAGCAACGGGCGUCACGUCUGGCGCCACUGAGAGUACCCGAAGUACCAGCAUCGGCAAACUCCGUGCCAGCAGCCGCGGUAAUCCGGGGUAGGAGAGGGUUAUACGGAUUUAUUGGGUUUAUGGGUUGCGUAGGCGGAUCGUUAAGUCAGUGGUAAAAUUGCGGGGCUCAACCCCUUCCCGCCAUUGAAACUGGCGUUCUUGAGUGGAAGAGAAGCAUGCGGAAUGCGUGGUGUAGCGGUGAAAUGCAUAGAUAUCACGCAGAACCCCGGUUGCGAAGGCAGCAUGCCGGCUUACGACUGACGCUGAAGCACGAAAGCGUGGGGAGCGAACAGGAUUAGAUACCCCGGUAGUC
rnacentral:rRNA from 1 species